UACGUAGGGUGCAAGCGUUGUCCGGAAUUAUUGGGCGUAAAGAGCUCGUAGGCGGUUUGUCGCGUCGAAUGUGAAAACCCGGGGCUCAACCCCGGGCCUGCAUUCGAUACGGGCAGACUAGAGUUCGGUAGGGGAGUCUGGAAUUCCUGGUGUAGCGGUGAAAUGCGCAGAUAUCAGGAGGAACACCUGUGGCGAAGGCGGGACUCUGGGCCGAUACUGACGCUGAGGAGCGAAAGCGUGGGGAGCAAACAGG
rnacentral:rRNA from 1 species